rfam:Youngiibacter fragilis 232.1 contig_6, whole genome shotgun sequence.
GUCAACUAACCCUCGACUGAAGUCGAAGGCAUGAGGAGCAAUCCAUUGUGCCUGGUUGAUUAGCCUGAGUGCUUCGGGCACUACGUUGUUUUUGUCAUAACACCCACUGACGUCCAUCCUAAUCCGUGGCUCUGUUGCCUGUGAUUAAAAGUUCUCCUGGGUUAACGGGAACGUAGUUUGCAGGCGUAAAAAGCAAUUACAACAUUGGCGAAGGAUGCCAAC